rnacentral:rRNA from 1 species
UGAGGAAUUUUGCGCAAUGGGAGCAAUCCUGACGCAGCAACGCCGCGUGGGUGAUGAAGGCCUUCGGGUCGUAAAGCCCUGUCAGGUGGGAAGAAUGUCCCGUGAGCGAACAGUUUGCGGGAGUGACGGUACCACCAGAGGAAGCCCGGCUAACUCCGUGCCAGCAGCCGCGGUAAUACGGAGGGUGCAAGCGUUAUUCGGAAUUACUGGGCGUAAAGCGCGUGUAGGCGGUCCUGCAAGUCUGAUGUGAAAGCCCCGGGCUUAACCCGGGAAGUGCAUUGGAAACUGCAGGUCUUGAGUACUGGAGAGGAUGGGGGAAUUCCCGGUGUAGAGGUGAAAUUCGUAGAGAUCGGGAGGAAUAUCAGUGGCGAAGGCGACCAUCUGGACGGUAACUGACGCUGGUACGCGAAAGCGUGGGGAGCAAACA